ensembl:snRNA U6 U6 spliceosomal RNA
UCACAGCAGCAGUGAAUGUGCCAAAAUGGAAAAUAUGCAGAGGAGAUUAGCAUGUCUCCUGUGCAGGGCUGACAUACAAAUUCACAAAGCAAUCUGUCCUUUC